GAAAUGAUAGUCCUUAGUGGGAACAUCUCUACCUGCCUUUCUGCUGAGCAGCAUGUAGGUGAAUGAAGCUGCUGUUGCAAUGCACAAAAUGUGCUGAGGACACAGAGAAGAAAAGAAAGAAGAAAGUGGCAUUUGGUAGGAAGUGCUGCAGCAACGUUUUAUAUUGAAGACUGAAGUGAAAGGAAUUGAUGUCAUGGUGCAUAGAUGCCCUCUCUUCAAAAAUCGUCCUCUUACCUCUCAUUUCCUUCUUGUAAGUAGCACCUAGUUUCUCAGACUGUUAGUAAUGGGAAAUAGGACUAUUCCGUGGGAUCCUAAAGACUUUGAAAUCAGGAAAACAUGCCUCUAAUACAUAUGCAGAAGUCCUAAAACACUGAUUUGCUCAUGGUUUAUUGCUUAUGGUGAAUCCCAUGCAAUCGGCAGAGUAUGGGUCAGACAGAUGCUUAAGUUUUUGAACUGAAGAGAGGAACUAGUAUUUGGAAUACUGAUGUUCCAGGUUCCCCCUUAGCUCUGGAGGAGAAAUGUACAGGGAGCAUUAAAUCAUGCAGCACUUUUAAACAUUCUUCUUUCCUUCCAAUGUGACACGAAAAAUUAAGUUGUUCAGUUCUGUGGGAGUUAUUAGCACCUUCAGAGUCAUGCUUAGGGCUGCAGGCCCUGGAAAGCAGAAUAGUGGAAUAUCCUCAGCAACACCACAGAAAGAAUGGAAUCAAUUUUCUUGAACAAAAAGAAGGAUCCUUCAGCUCUGAGUCACACAUCAUGGAUUUCUGAAGUGUCACAUGGAGAUGGAGAGAGUGAGCAUUACGCUGGGACUUGAAAAAUGCUUGUUGACUCCUUUCUUAAAGAAAGAGCUUUUAAGCUUUCUAAGACAUGUGGUACAGGAAGAUUGUUCUGACAGGCUUUUGUGCCAUAUGGAAGAUAGAGAUCACUGCUUUCAUAAUAUAGAGCAAAGCCUCAGCAAUAGUAGUACAGGAUAAAGUCAGUGUAGCUGUGACCAAAGUUCAUCCUAUUUAGCAUGCUGAGAUAAGACUUUUUAGAAUCACUCAUCGAUCCAUGACUCUGAAAGGUUUGGAAAAUCAGCAAGCAGCAUCUGAAAAGGUUUAUAUUGCUAUGAGAGCUUUGGAGAGGGAAUUUAAUGUACCUAUUGUCUACAGUGGCACUAAGCAACCCAAACACUGCUGUAAGGGACUGGGUUGCUGACUAAUUUAUGUCUCCAUCCAGACUCCUGAACCAUCCUGUUCAGUGACACGAACGCUCCAGCCUAAGAGUGGAUUUAUACCCUUAGCAGUUAUAUUUUAUCUGUGCAAUGGCAUUAGUAAUGAGACUUACUCUGUUCCCCAGAUCCCUAUUUGAGCUGCUUGCUAGCUAUAAAAGCAAAUGAUCUAAACUUACAGUCUGCAAGAAGAUACUGAGUCGUUUCAUACGGGUAUGGCUCACAACAGUUAUUGGAGCCCUGCAUAUUUUUGAGGUAUGCAAGCAAGUAGACUGGCAGCUGACACACACCUAAGAAAGUGCUUCAGCUUUGUUAAAAGAGAAGAGGGAGAGUCCACAGAGACCAGCUCCUUCUUCAGUCACAGAAGGAAAUCAGCAGAGUGCAUAUGGACUGUUUCCAAAAGGGAGGAGACGGUAUGGUUUUGCAGCUUUGGACUGGACCAUGCUGGUAAUCACACGCGGAGGAUCAGGUGGGCUGUCUUCUGUCUCUGAU